AUGAACUCUGCUGCAGGCUUAGUGACUGUGGUACUCUUAAUGCUUGGACAAACCUACGGAGACUCAGUGACCCAGAUGGAAGGCCAAGUGACGCUCUCAGAAGGGGCUUCGCUGAGUAUGAACUGUACUUAUUCAACCACAGGGUACCCUACUCUUUUCCGGUAUGUUCAGUAUCCUGGAAAAGGUCCACAGCUCCUCCUGAGAGCCACGAAGGCCAACAAGAAGCAAAGCAACAAAGGUUUUGAAGCCACAUACAAUAAAGAAACCUCCUCCUUCCACUUGGAGAAAGACUCUAUCCAAGAGUCAGACUCCGCUGUGUACUACUGUGCUCUGAGUGACACAGUGACAGGAGCUGCAGGGGGAGGUGAGCCAAAAUCUUGA